AGACUUUGAUCCUGGCUCAGAUUGAACGCUGGCGGAAUGCUUUACACAUGCAAGUCGAACGGCAGCACGGGUGCUUGCACCUGGUGGCGAGUGGCGAACGGGUGAGUAAUGCGUCGGAACGUACCGAGUAAUGGGGGAUAACGCAGCGAAAGUUGUGCUAAUACCGCAUACGCCCUGAGGGGGAAAGUGGGGGAUCGCAAGACCUCACGUUAUUCGAGCGGCCGACGUCUGAUUAGCUAGUUGGUGGGGUAAAGGCCUACCAAGGCGACGAUCAGUAGCGGGUCUGAGAGGAUGAUCCGCCACACUGGGACUGAGACACGGCCCAGACUCCUACGGGAGGCAGCAGUGGGGAAUUUUGGACAAUGGGGGCAACCCUGAUCCAGCCAUUCCGCGUGAGUGAAGAAGGCCUUCGGGUUGUAAAGCUCUUUCAGCUGGAAAGAAACGCUCUGGGAUAAUACCCCGGGGUAAUGACGGUACCAGCAGAAGAAGCACCGGCUAACUACGUGCCAGCAGCCGCGGUAAUACGUAGGGUGCGAGCGUUAAUCGGAAUUACUGGGCGUAAAGCGUGCG
rnacentral:rRNA from 1 species